rnacentral:rRNA from 1 species
CAGUCGAACGAGCGAGAGAGAGCUUGCUUUCUCAAGCGAGUGGCGAACGGGUGAGUAACGCGUGAGGAACCUGCCUCAAAGAGGGGGACAACAGUUGGAAACGACUGCUAAUACCGCAUAAGCCCACGGCUCGACAUCGAGCAGAGGGAAAAGGAGCAAUCCGCUUUGAGAUGGCCUCGCGUCCGAUUAGCUAGUUGGUGAGGUAACGGCCCACCAAGGCGACGAUCGGUAGCCGGACUGAGAGGUUGAACGGCCACAUUGGGACUGAGACACGGCCCAGACUCCUACGGGAGGCAGCAGUGGGGAAUAUUGCACAAUGGGGGAAACCCUGAUGCAGCGACGCCGCGUGGAGGAAGAAGGUCUUCGGAUUGUAAACUCCUGUUGUUGAGGAAGAUAAUGACGGUACUCAACAAGGAAGUGACGGCUAACUACGUGCCAGCAGCCGCGGUAAAACGUAGGUCACAAGCGUUGUCCGGAAUUACUGGGUGUAAAGGGAGCGCAGGCGGGAGAACAAGUUGGAAGUGAAAUCCAUGGGCUCAACCCAUGAACUGCUUUCAAAACUGUUUUUCUUGAGUAGUGCAGAGGUAGGCGGAAUUCCCGGUGUAGCGGUGGAAUGCGUAGAUAUCGGGAGGAACACCAGUGGCGAAGGCGGCCUACUGGGCACCAACUGACGCUGAGGCUCGAAAGCAUGGGUAGCAAACAGGAUUAGAUACCCUGGUAGUCCAUGCCGUAAACGAUGAUUACUAG